rnacentral:sRNA from 1 species
AAAUUCUUGUAAAUCCUUUUAAAAUCUUUGUAAAGUCGUUAAAAACACUUGUAAAUCUUUUCAAUGUUGUAACUAGAAAAAGAUAUAGAAGAAAUGAGUGUGUUAUUCCAUUGAAUAAAGGGUUCUUUAUAUAGGAGUAAAAGGAAAGGGUAAAACCCUAGAAACAUCUAGAUGAUGGGCUUAGAUGAUGGGUCUUAUAAUGGGCAUCCAUCUUUAUUCAUAACACUCCCCCCUUGAUGACCAUUGUAGUACCAUAACUCGUAAAGUAUUUGAAAUGCUGCCUCAUUAAAAACCUUACCAGGAAAACCCAACGGAAAAAACCAUGGUUAAGGGAAAAAGAGUGCAACAUACAAUUACUCCUCCUUAUGAGUAUAUUCGACGAGAUCUUUGAGACGGCGUAAUCCGAUACGAUAGACUAACUUCUUGAAAGUAGCAGUAGAUAGCGCCUGGGUGAAUAAGUCAGCCAGAUUAUCAUUCGAACGGAUCUGUAGAACUCGUACAUCGCCGCUCUUUUGUAGAUCGUGUGUGAAGAAGAAUUUUGGUAGGAUGUGCUUUGUUCUAUCGCCUUUGAUGUAUCCGUUUUUGAGUUGUGCGAUGCAUGCUGCAUUGUCUUCGUACAUAAUUGUUGAAGUCCUUUUCCCUCAGGGGCGGAUCCACGGCAAGGUUGGGUUAGGCACGUGCCCGAGGCUGUUUUUUU